rnacentral:lncRNA from 1 species
CCCAACGAGAACCCAGCAAAGAAAGAAUACGAACAGAUUCAAGAAAGGAUAGCCAGGAAAUCCGGAACUAUUAACCCAGCCCUGCCUCCAUGAUUUGAACUUUUGACUAAGCUGGCUGACAAAGCUAUACAUCCUUCUCUGUUACAGAGUCAUCCAAGUCCAGUGGCAAGGUAAAACUCAAGGUGACUGGUAAUGGCCCAGGAUGCAAUGGAUGGUUUUUGAUGUCUGACAAGCUCUAGGUGUUCUACAGUGCUUGCUUCAGCUGCCUUCAUGGCCUGACUCAAAUCAGUUCAGUGAUCC